rnacentral:tRNA from 1 species
AGGGGUAUAGCUCAGUGGUGGAGUGCAUGCUUGGCAUGCACGAGGUCCUGAGUUCAAUCCCCAGUGCCCCAG